GUUCCCUUGGCCAAAAUCUUUCAACCGAUACAAAAAAACUUGUUUAUUUGCUCUCGCUACUUUUCAUCGGGUUGCUUUAUUGCACAGAAUCAUAUCCCGGCUCUAAACCAGCGUCGGCGUUUAACGAAAAAAGGCAAUUAAAUGAUUUGCAUUCCAACUGAAAUACUAAUGGUCCCGAAUUGCAGCCGUUCCUUCUAUUCGCCCGGUUGAAAACACUGUGCGUUUAAGUCGCCCGAAGAAACAUAACAUUCUUUCCAAAGUGAUAUCCGGUUCAUCCACAAUGAUCUCGCAUCACCCGGAUGCUGUCGAUCUCUCUAAAGAUUCAGGCUUUUCAGAACAGUGGCUCAGAUACCCAAAAUCGUUCUGGAUAGAUAAAUUGAGAUCACUUGACGGCGAUAAAAAGGAAUUGGAGAAUGAAUUAUUUCAGAAACGGUUUGAGAUAUCCGCUUUAAAGGAACAAAACUUGAAGCACGUUAAAGAAAAGUUGGCAAUGACUAAACAAAUGAACGAUUUGCGCAAGGUUCGCGAAGAACAUAUCAUUGAUGCGGCUCGUGCUAAAUUGAAGACCCGAUACACUGAAAAUCAAUCAAAUUUGAUGCUGGGUCUAAAAAAAGGGUCAAUUGGACAAAUGAGGAACUAUGUCGAGGUUUUACGCUACGAUAUUUCAGUGUUCCUGGAUACCAAUAUAUUACAUAGAAUCUAUCGUUUUCGUUACCCAAAUUAUGCAGUCUCAGAAGGUACGCUUCAAAUAAGGACUUUCGUGAAGGAUUCUUGGAAACAGUAUUAUCGAUCUUAAAAGCGAAAUCGGAAACCGUGUCUGAAAGGGAUCGUGUUUGUGUAUUGCUUUAUGAUGAAAUGUCUUGCAGUGAAUUAUAUGAAUACGAUCGAAAGCACGACGAAGUUUUGGGACCUCAUUCUAAAAUGCAGGUCAUGAUGAUCCGUGGAUUGUUUCUGGACUGGAAACAAACUAUUAACGCAGGAUUCAAUGUGAGUAUGAGCCGCGCGUUGCUCCUAGAUUCUGUAACCAGAACAUUUGAAGCUGGCUUUGAAGUGGUGGCAACCACGUCCGAUUGCAGAGAAGGAAACGUGGCGAUUUGGUCCACUAUCGACCUAAAGAAAGAAACCUAAAGAAACUUAUCUACCAUCCAGUGAUCAAUCGUAAGCUUUUUCUAUUUGCUGAUGCCCCUCAUGUACCCAAGCUAGUUAGAAAUUGGUUGAUGGAUAGCGGAUUUUUGCUUGAAGAUGGAAGUCUGAUCAAACAUGAUCCUCUAUGGCAUCUUAUAAGAAAUUCUACCGAGAUAUCAGACACAUUUUUCUUAAUGAAGAACAUUUGACAUGCCAGCGAAGCCAGAGACAAAAAGUUGAUUGGGCUGCAAAGGUAUUAUCUAGAAAAUGUGUAACGGCAUUAAUACGUCGUGUAGGUACGAAUGAAGCGAUACAACUGUCACUAUGUUUAUUGGUUGUUAAUGAUUGGUGGGAUGUUUUAAAUUCACGAUGUCCUAAAGAGACUCAGCUUUUGAAAAAGCCAUAUGGGUUACACCAAAGUGAGCAGGAUGAAGCACUGGAUGCGAUCCAACGUCUGAUGUCUACAGCUGUUCCAGCGAACAAAACACGUAUCCAGCUGUUCCAGAAAGCUUUGCUAAUGUCAAUCAUAUCGCUACGAGCACUAUUCAAAGAAAUGAAAUUUCGAUUCGGUAUAUCGUAUAUAAUGACUGCUAAGCUUAAUCAAGAUGCAUUGGAAAACUUGUUCUCAAUGAUUCGUGUGCGAGGCAGAGGUUAUGAUCACCCGUCUCCGAUGGAAUGCCUACGACGGCUCAGAAUAAUAAUUCUUGGCAAAAGCCUUUUGUCAGUUUCUCCAGGCCAAUCCACAAACGAUGAAUGCGGUGACGAAGAAUUUCUAAUACUGAAAUCGCUGCGACUGAUAAAGUAUACAUCUAGGGAUGAGACGACCAUGACUGAUGCAGAUCAGCCAUGCCUACUGCGGACAACGAUCAUUUUUGCGAUGAAGUUUUGCAAGAAAACAAAGGGAUUGAGUGGCUCGACACAGAACGAGAUGGCUUCGAUUAUAUAGCUGGAGCGAUAGCUAGAAAGUUUAAGAACAAAUUCCCUUACGUUAGGGAUUAUACAUAUAAAGUGCGUGAACUGAGUACGUACACUUUACUGGAUCACGAUUAUGUAUACUUCAGGAUCUACGUACAGCAUCUCUUUAGGUGGAUUAGUAAAACCGUCAGAGGAAUGGUUGGAACAAGUUAAGCGUCGAGAGCAGGUUUUUAAAAGGUAUCAUAAGGAUUGUAUUUCGUAGGAAAAUGGAGUGGUAGCAAAUGUUCAUACAUUGGUAAACUCCAUAUAUCAUGAUAUCCCUGACGAUAUCAUUGAAUAUUUCAUUCGUCUUCGUGCCCAUAUUCAAAUUGCCACGCUUAAUAGGAUUGUUAAAGAGAAAAAAUAGAAGAAACUUUCCGUUAAAACCGGCGGACAAGCCAAUGAUUCCGGCACAGAAAAAGAUGCGAAAAAUUUUGAUGUGAUGCAUUUCAUGAAAUUCGUAGUUCGUCAAAAAACCUAAAAAUAAAACGCUAAUCUAAUCUAUCACACAUUGUUUAAGGCGGUUUAAUGUACCAAAUUCAAAAAUAAAAAUAUAUUUUUCA